GACGAACGCUGGCGGCGUGCUUAACACAUGCAAGUCGAACGGAAAGGCCCUGCUUUUGUGGGGUGCUCGAGUGGCGAACGGGUGAGUAACACGUGAGUAACCUGCCCUUUACUUUGGGAUAACUUCAGGAAACUGGGGCUAAUACCGGAUAGGAGCGCCUGCUGCAUGGUGGGGUUUGGAAAGUUUCGGCGGUUGGGGAUGGACUCGCGGCUUAUCAGCUUGUUGGUGGGGUAGUGGCUUACCAAGGCUUUGACGGGUAGCCGGCCUGAGAGGGUGACCGGCCACAUUGGGACUGAGAUACGGCCCAGACUCCUACGGGAGGCAGCAGUGGGGAAUAUUGCACAAUGGGAGGAAGCCUGAUGCAGCAACGCCGCGUGCGGGAUGACGGCCUUCGGGUUGUAAACCGCUUUCGCCUGUGACGAAGCGUGAGUGACGGUAAUGGGUAAAGAAGCACCGGCUAACUACGUG
rnacentral:rRNA from 1 species